CAUAACUAAAUCAACAUAAAGUUAAAGGUGGGUCAAAGAUUACCAGCAGCUGAUUAGUUUUAGUUGGUAAAAGUUGUCAAAAGCCUACAGAUGUGAUCUUUAUUCUCACACAGUGCCUUCCAGAUGUUAGACCAUAUCACACCCAUUAUUCAUGGAGGUUUUUUCUUUUCUUUCACACCACAACACCAUGUUUUUUUCUCUACACACAAAAUCUACUUAAUCCAUUAUCUGAUCAAACCUCUUUUCUUAACCUAUUUGUAGAUUUUUUUGUACACACUGUUUAUCCUACAAACAUUCUACAAACUACUCGAGCUUGGGAUGAACAGAUUACAUAAAACGUGGGCAGGAAUUAGACCCAAAUUAAAAUAACGAAUGUGUAGAUAUGAAACUGCAGAUAAAAUAACAGAAUGUUGAACACGUUUUCAUAGGGCGAGUCACAUUUUUAAACUAGAUUGUAACCUCAUUUUUUUUAUUUUUUGUUACUGAGUUUCUUCAUCAGGAGCUUUGUAUAGCCAUGAAGUUGUUGAACAAGGAGGAGCUGAAGAAAGCAGAGGAAGCGCUCAGAUAUUAUUGUCCCCAGGCGCAGCAGACUGCCACAGAUACACGAGAUGUAACGAAUCAGUGAAAACAAAAACACUGCUGAUUUUCUGAACUGUACAAUGAACCAGCGGUGGAAAUUUUGAUUCUUUCAAAAGAUUUGUUCAUCAAAAUGAUUCGUUCAUCAAAAUGAUUCGUUCAUCAAAAUGAUUCGUUCAAGGAAUCGUUCAGUGACCAUUUUUUCAUAUUACAUGAAUACACCAGCAGGUGGCGAAAAAGAGCCAACUAAGUCUAACUAAUCAGAAUCAAAACCAUAAUCAGGUUUAUUGGCCAAGUGUGUUGACACACACAAUGAAUUUGGUUCCAGCUGUUUGUGACUCUCAAAAGCGCAGACAUAAAUAACACUAUACUAUACAAACUAUAAAAGACAGUGCAGACGAUGGGAUACAAUAUAGACAGAAUGAGUAUUAAAUAUGAAUAUAGAAUAUUAACGCUCAGUUAUGUACAUAAAGUGUGGGAGUGCAAAUAACAAUAUUGUGGAAUAUUAAGCUUUUUGUACAAUAUGCAGCAGCAGUAGUGUGUAAUAUAUACAGAUGAUGUGAUGACUGACAGUUCUGACAAUGCAGUACUUAUAGAUAUGAAGCAUGGAAUAUAAUUAUGGUGAGUUGUUAAUCAGGGUGAUGAGGGGCCUGAGGAAAGAAACUGUUCCUGUGUCUGGUAGUUUUAGUAAACAAAGUUCUGUAGCGCCUGCCAGAAGGGAGGAGCUGAAAGAGUUUGUGUCCAGGGUGGGAAGGGUCAGUGGUGAUUUUUCUUGCCCGGUUUCUGGUUCUUGUGUCGUUUUCUGUUGUUUUAACCGUGCGCUGCAGUCUAUUCCUGUCCUGUUUUGUAGCUGCACCAAACCAGAUGGUGAUGGAUGUGCACAGGACUGAUUCAAUGACUGCAGUGUAGAACAGCAUCAACAGCUCCUGUGGUCUUGGGAAAUGGUAGUGCCCAGAAACUUGAAGGCCUCCACAGAUGACACCGGGCUGUUGGAUAUGGUGCGGGGAGUAGUGUUGGGGGUCUUUCCUAACGUCCACUAUCAUCUCCACAGUUUUGAGGGUGUUUAGUUCUAGACUGUUCUGACUGCACCAUAGCACCAGCUCCAGCUUCCACCUCCUGCCGACACUUCCGGGAUUACUGGUUGGCUCGGGGAGUCGUCGAUCGCCGAAGGAGGUCGCCUUUUUGCUGUUGUGUUGCCACGUUACUCAGUUUGUAUGAUAAUUAAUUACACUGUUACCUUAAAAACCUUGGGGUCGCAUUUCCUCUCUCUGACUAAGGAGCUUUUGCUCCUUUUGUUCAUUUUUGUUAUACCAGAGCAUAGAUAUAUACACUAGAUGUCGCCUUGUAUACGGCAGUAUAGUUGGAGCGAAUGCGUCAACUGAGCCGCCAUCUUGGUACGGGGGAGCCCUUCCUCUUAAUUCAUUAGCGUCGAUGUAGGCAAAGAAACAAAAUCACCAUAAAUCGUCAUGAAUGCGAUUUCUAGUUUUUUUUUGGUUCGUUCCAAAGGUCAGACAUGUAUUUAUCAUUAAGUCCAGAGAAAAUUUAAGGUUUUGAUAUUAAGAAAAUCAAAUAAGUGCUAGUACUAUGCAUUAUAUUGUGAAAAAGUAGAUUAGCUAGUAGGUGUGUUUAUUACUUACAUUCUUCCACUUAAGUAAACUUCAAAUGAACAAUCACUACUUACCUUAUAGCCUACUGCAUGUAACACUGCUACAAUGGUGUGAUUAUACAUGUUCAUUUAAACAUUUAAAUUGUAUUGGUUUAUUAAAUAUGAUACACAAAGCAAUUUGCAGGUGGAAGCAAAUCACAAAUUUGAGAGGAACAUAAUGUGAACGUUAGAUAGUUGAGGUGCCAAAGACUGUUCAAUCUUUUAUUUAUUCUUUUCCCGCAAUACUUUUGCCACUUGGGAAAAGAA